GUGCCAGAAAUGGGCUGUCCGGAGGAAGCAUGAGGCAGAACCCAUGUACGUAGCGAACAGCGAACCAACUAUAUGGCAGCGGGGAGGAGGUCGAGCAGGCGUGGGAGAGCGAGACCUGAUAUCCGGAGAACCGAAGUGAAGUUGGACGGGAUAUGGGGAGGUGCUGCGUCU
rfam:Delta proteobacterium NaphS2 ctg_1101087565890, whole genome shotgun sequence.